GACGAACGCUGGCGGCGUGCCUAAUACAUGCAAGUAGAACGCUGAAGGAGGAGCUUGCUUCUCUGGAUGAGUUGCGAACGGGUGAGUAACGCGUAGGUAACCUGCCUGGUAGCGGGGGAUAACUAUUGGAAACGAUAGCUAAUACCGCAUAAUAGUAGAUGUUGCAUGACAUUUGCUUAAAAGGUGCAAUUGCAUCACUACCAGAUGGACCUGCGUUGUAUUAGCUAGUUGGUGAGGUAACGGCUCACCAAGGCGACGAUACAUAGCCGACCUGAGAGGGUGAUCGGCCACACUGGGCCUGAGACACGGCCCAGACUCCUACGGGAGGCAGCAGUAGGGAAUCUUCGGCAAUGGACGGAAGUCUGACCGAGCAACGCCGCGUGAGUGAAGAAGGUUUUCGGAUCGUAAAGCUCUGUUGUAAGAGAAGAACGAGUGUGAGAGUGGAAAGUUCACACUGUGACGGUAUCUUACCAGAAAGGGACGGCUAACUACGUG
rnacentral:rRNA from 1 species